CACGUAGGGUGCGAGCGUUGUCCGGAAUUAUUGGGCGUAAAGAGUUCGUAGGCGGUGUGUCGCGUCGGCCGUGAAAACCUGCAGCUUAACUGUGGGCGUGCGGUCGAUACGGGCAUCACUGGAGUUCGGCAGGGGAGACUGGAAUUCCUGGUGUAGCGGUGAAAUGCGCAGAUAUCAGGAGGAACACCGGUGGCGAAGGCGGGUCUCUGGGCCGAUACUGACGCUGAGGGACGAAAGCUAGGGGAGCGAAUGGG
rnacentral:rRNA from 1 species